GCCUGGCUAGCUCAGUCGGUAGAGUGUGCGACUCUUGAUCUCAGGGUCAUGAGUUCUAGCCCCACGUUGGGCA
rnacentral:tRNA from 1 species